rnacentral:rRNA from 1 species
AUUGAACGCUGGCGGCAGGCCUAACACAUGCAAGUCGAACGGUAACAGGAAACAGCUUGCUGUUUCGCUGACGAGUGGCGGACGGGUGAGUAAUGUCUGGGAAACUGCCUGAUGGAGGGGGAUAACUACUGGAAACGGUAGCUAAUACCGCAUAACGUCGCAAGACCAAAGAGGGGGACCUUCGGGCCUCUUGCCAUCGGAUGUGCCCAGAUGGGAUUAGCUAGUAGGUGGGGUAACGGCUCACCUAGGCGACGAUCCCUAGCUGGUCUGAGAGGAUGACCAGCCACACUGGAACUGAGACACGGUCCAGACUCCUACGGGAGGCAGCAGUGGGGAAUAUUGCACAAUGGGCGCAAGCCUGAUGCAGCCAUGCCGCGUGUAUGAAGAAGGCCUUCGGGUUGUAAAGUACUUUCAGCGGGGAGGAAGGGAGUAAAGUUAAUACCUUUACUCAUUGACGUUACCCGCAGAAGGAGCACCGGCUAACUCCGUG